rnacentral:lncRNA from 1 species
GCCGAUGAACGGGAUUGGUGCCCUGAUGGAGCCGGGCCUUUGUUUUCUUCCGCUUACCCCGGCUGGGAGCACGAACGCUGUGGGGACUGGAAGUGAGGCGGUGGGGCUUAGGGUGCGCAGGAGCUCAGCGGUGUUCGGAGUCGGCAGAGCAGUGCGGGGCUGCUUCGGAGUCGGGAGAGCAGUGCGGGGCUGCUUCCUCCCCACUUGAUCAAUAAGUCGCCCACGUGUCGGGCCUCGGUGGCUCCUGCCAGCCGGGUGAGCUCUGCAGCCCCUCUCUGUAGAGCCUAAAACCGUGAAAAGGCCGGGCCAGCGCCAAGCUGGGCGUCUUUACUGUAACACACCCGAGCACAGCCCAGCUCGCCUGCCCGCCACCGCCAUCCAGCCCCAGGGAGCCCCGCACACUCCUGGAGCUUCAGCUGCCCCCUCUUUAGUGUUUACUUGAGAUCCAGCUUAGUCCUAGAAAAAGGAGCUGAAGCCUUAGCCUGUAACAGGAAUGUGGAAACUUCUCUCAUCCUAGAUCUCUCCAGCCCUAGAAACUACUGGCUACCCGGCCAGGCGUGGUGGCUCACGCCUGUAAUCCCAACACUUUGGGAGGCCAAGGCGGGUGGAUCACGAGCCGAGAUCACGACACCACACUGCAGCCUGGGCAACAAAGUGAGACUCCGUCUCAAAAAAAUAAAAAAUAAAAACAAAAAUAAAAACACACACUUGAUUAUAAUCCUUCCAUUUUAAAUUCCUCCAAUGAAAUGUCUUCGAAUCAAUGGAUUGAUUUAAAGGAAAUCAAGCUUUCUGGCAUAGAAUAAAAACGUCCUUGCCAUUUGGCAUCUACAUCCUUUGUUGGGAUUUCA